rnacentral:lncRNA from 1 species
AUACAGUUACUUCAUGUCGCCGACGAUAAGCCUCAGAAGAUAUACUGAUUCCUCCCACUGACGAUCCAUGUCCUCUUGUGGACAAUCCCCCUUGUCCCACUCCCACACUUGCCGUACCAUUUGGUAUGUUAUGAGAUUGAACUGGUCCACCUCUUGCACUCUUUGGAAAAAAAGGACAUAGAGGCAUUACUUUAAAGAAAUUGGAAAAAUUAAAGUUUUAAGUGAAAACUCCGCUACAGCUUUACGCACACACACACACACAGAUAUUAUUAUUAUUACUAUUCUUGGGUUUCAUUGACCGUGCUGCUUCAAUAGGCUACAACAAUUGUCGCAUUAACAAGUCUAUCUACCCUUUCUUUUUCCAUUUCAGCUGUCCAUGUCCUUUUUAAAUUUAAAUUGGAAUACACUAAAGUUUAAUGCAAAGUGUCCAAAAAAUUUUACCUACAUUUUGCAAGCCAGAAUCAACAAGAAAAGACAACUGAAAUCUCCUAGUUAGAUAAGAGUGUAAUGACUACCUACAAUCAAAUAUUUAGUAACUAUGACUUCCAAUAUCGUCAGAAUUCAUGUGCAAAACAUACCGCAAUUAUCGUGUAAAAUGGGAAGACUCUUGUAUGUUAGAAACAAUAUACCACUGAAUGUCGAAGUAACAAUUCCAAAAACAAGUAAAGCAUCUACCUGAUUUCCCCUUGUGCCUGCCUCAAGUUUUGAACCAGCAUUGGUGUCUCUGCCACCGUAGCUAUUAUCUUCAUUUUCAGGACUAUAUCCAUGUCGUUGUCCUUGAGAAAAUUGUUGAACCUGAACUGAAGAGCUUACGGGUACUGAAGAGGACUUGGGUGGAGCCAUCAUUGCAGGUCUCUCAUACUGAGUGACAUUUGUCUCGGGAUUCCAAAAGUAAAGAUAACCAGUUCUACCAUCAACCAGGCCUUUCCAUGGUUUGGGAAGAGUUGGAUCCUCUGGAGCAUAUCUUACACUAGCCGAAGUAGCAGUCGCAGUGGCAGC